UCCAAGGGUUCCUGCUUAAAGCUAAUCUGAGCAGGGUAAGCCGACCCCUAAGGCGAGGCCGAAAGGCGUAGUCGAUGGGAACCAGGUUAAUAUUCCUGGGCCAGAUGGAAGUGACGGAUCUCGAGGGUAGUUCAUCCUUAUCGGAUUGAAUGGGCUGCUUAGAGGUCCCUGGAAAUAGCUCCAUCGCUAGAUCGUACCCUAAACCGACACAGGUGGAUAGGUAGAGAAUACCAAGGCGCUUGAGAGAACUAUGUUGAAGGAACUCGGCAAAAUACCUCCGUAAGUUCGCGAGAAGGAGGCCCGGUUUCUAGGCAACUAGAGGCUGGGGGCACAAACCAGGGGGUGGCGACUGUUUAUUAAAAACACAGGGCUCUGCGAAGUCGUAAGACGACGUAUAGGGUCUGACGCCUGCCCGGUGCCUGAAGGUUAAAAGGAGGGGUGAGAGCUCUGAAUUGAAGCCCAGGUAAACGGCGGCCGUAACUAUAACGGUCCUAAGGUAGCGAAAUUCCUUGUCGGGUAAGUUCCGACCUGCACGAAUGGCGUAACGACUUCCCCGCUGUCUCCAACAUAGACUCAGCGAAAUUGAAUUACCGGUCAAGAUGCCGGUUACCCGCGGUUAGACGGAAAGACCCCGUGCACCUUUACUACAACUUCACACUGGCAUUAGGCCGAACAUGUGCAGGAUAGGUGGUGGGCUUUGAAGCGUGGACGCCAGUCUGCGUGGAGCCUCCCUUGAGAUACCACCCUUGUUCUGCUUGAUGUCUAACCGCGGUCCGUUAUCCGGAUCCGGGACCCUGUGUGGUGGGUAGUUUGACUGGGGCGGUCGCCUCCUAAAUCGUAACGGAGGCGCGCGAAGGUUGGCUCAGAGCGGUCGGAAAUCGCUCGUUGAGUGCAAUGGCAGAAGCCAGCCUGACUGCGAGACUGACAAGUCGAGCAGAGUCGAAAGACGGCCAUAGUGAUCCGGUGGUCCCAAGUGGGAGGGCCAUCGCUCAACGGAUAAAAGGUACGCCGGGGAUAACAGGCUGAUACUGCCCAAGAGUCCAUAUCGACGGCAGUGUUUGGC
rnacentral:rRNA from 1 species